GAGGGGAUGCUGGUUUGAGAAGCAUGGGGGUCCUGUGUCUGCCAUGCUUGGAGACACCAAGGACAGAUACCUGCCCCCCAGGAUCCCACAGUCCACGGCAGGAGACCAGCAGGUUCACGAGGAAGGAGCCUUCUGGAGGGCAAGAAAAGACUGAAGGAGCAACUCAAGGGACUACAGAGAACGCCAAGGAGGUGCCCAGGCACUGAAGCCCUGGGGAUCAGCGUGGCAGGAGCAGAAUGGAGUCAGGACACGGGGUGGCCAGCGGAGGCCGGGUUCCAAUAAGGUUCCACAGCAUGGCUCGAGGUGAGACACCGUCCUUGGCUGACACCACAGGCCUCCGCAAGCUGUGUGCCGGCUGGCUCACAGGGCAGCCACCAGGGUGUGAAGGCAGAGGAGGAGCCCCUGCAGCUUGAAUCCCUAAGCCCAUCCCAGGCCACCAGGUCCAAUGGGAAGAGUAAGGUCGGUUCCUGCAUGGCCACUUGCCAGCCCCACCCACCGAGAGACUCAAGAGGAGGUGAGACGGAAGAAAGAAACCUCGGGGAUUCGCCGGGACUCUCAUUUAGUUCAAUGUCCACAUACUGGCAAAUUGCUGGCCCCACCGGGGAGCCCAGGCAGGGCCCACAGGCCCUUCGAAUAUGCAGGUGGAUGAUGGGAGAUACACAGGUGCUAGGACUUCCGGCUGGCUUGCUUGCUGUCCGAGUCAGCGGCGGGCGCUGAUCACGUGGGCUGCUGAGCCCAGCUGGAGAUGCCGAGAAGCUGAUCUGGACUCAGGCCUCUCGUGCAGCAGCAGCGGGGCCUCCGGGGCUGCACCUGGAGCCCUCUGCACCUACAAGAGAUGAGGACAGUGGCCGGCUUCCUGACAAUACCUGGGGUCUCUGGAGGGCGCUGCCUCUGCCCCAGCCUGGUGUCUGCCCGGGACAGCAGCUGUUGCUGGUAAGGGUGGUGUGUCAGGGCCGGCCAGGGGACCUGUGGGGACUUCUGUAGGCUUAACCUUUGCCUACUUUGCGAGCCUGGUGGGGAGCGGGGAGGAGACAGAGUGCUUCGGGGUUGGCUGAGGCCUCACUGUGGGUUCCACAAACGUCCAGUCUCUGAACCUGCAGUGCCCCCUCACUAGCUGUGUUAUCUUGGAAAAGCAGUCCAAAUCUCUCUGCACCCCAGUCUUUCCCCUGUCACACGACCAUCUCGAGAAUCCUGAUGUGAUGGAAUGCUGUGAGAUUUAAAUGGGAUGUAAAAAUGGGAUGCUCCAUCAAAGGGGUGCCUGGCCUUAGCAUCUCAUGUGUCUGAGGUUGAGGGUGUUCACAGAAGGGAAUGGGGUUCACAUCCGCCUCCAACACUGGGCAAGGUAUCUGUGCUUGCACCGACAGCACCAGUACGGGAUGGACUCUCCAGCCUCCCCCAGGUGCUCACUCGAUAUGGUCAUGACGGUUGGGUGCCCCGGGGGGUGUCGGGGGGCUUUAUUCCAGAUCUGAGUUUUUCAGUCUCGGUCUCAUUGACACGUGGGGUCGAAGCAGUUCUCUGCCACGUGGGGCUGUCCCAUGCAUUGUAGAAUGAGUGGCAGCAUCCCUGGCGCGGCGCACCUGUGCUCCACACGUUCCAGGGUGUCCCGGCCUCGGGAUGGGGACAAUGCCACCCGCGGUUGAGUGUGACUGAGGAGUGAGCCCUCAGUCAGUGCUAUUUCUUUGUUGAAGAAGAGUGUUGAAGUUGGGUGAGCUUUUCUGAAACUUGGUGGUCUCUGCCUACUUCAGUGCAUCCCCUGGGGGGCCUGCUAUAUCCUGUGAAGGGGCGUUCCAGAGUCUACUGGUGACAAGCUUUCCAAACCCCAGCCUCGUUGCACAUAAAGGACUUGUUCUGGGACAUGGCUGGGCAGCCGGAUCAAUUGCAACUUGGGUGCUUAAUAUAUUUUUGGUCACCCGAACCUAAUUUUUUUUUUAAAAGACCAUUAAAUGCAACCUAGACCUCACAGUCUUUCACGCUUAAUUGAGCCAUGAGCUACGAUUAAAACUAAGCAGUGAAUUCUGUGGGGAACAGAACCUUUGAUGGCAUAGAGGUUUGUGUUUGACCACAAGCCUGGGAUUUGGCAGGUCCCCAAACCAGAAAAGGCUCUCAAGGAGACAGUUUCUCUGGAAACAGAGAUGGAAGAAGAGCUGGGAGCUCUGAGGUCCUCACUAUGUCAGAGAUGGCCCGAAGGCCCUGGGAGAGAGGGCCAGGCACCUGCCUCAUGAGGACUCUGGGUAGGUGUCCUCCCGGAUGCCAUGAGGGCCUGUGACAUGUCUUUCUUAGAUGAGUCAGGUGUGGCUCUCCUUGUCUGGUCUGGCUUCUUACCCACACGCCCUAACAUCUCUGCGCUCGCGGAGCAGGCCAUCUUAGCUCAGGAGUCAAAGAUGUUCUACCAGAUGUCAGGAGCGUUUCUGCUUAAUGCUUGGUGUGCCUACAGGAGGGUAGUGCCCCAGGCAUGGAUUUUAACCAGCGCGAGAGUUCCUCAUUGUUGAGAAUUUGACUGUGACACAUGGCACAGGGCUUCACAGCACAAAGCAAUCCAGGAUGAGUUUUUGCCUCGAGUCAUCCAGUGGCCCCAGGGUAUAAGAGUCAGUGGAGGGUUGAGCUCUUGGGAGUGUGCACCGUGGUGAGCAUGGCCACUUGAGCCCUGACUGUGGUCCGUGGACCUGGGCCGUCAUUUGCUCAUGCCGUGGUUAUGCAUCUGUGACAUGGGCUGGGCUGUGCAGAGUGGAGCAAGGCCUGGGCACUGCAGAAAUGUAGCUGGCUGCUUUCUCUGCAGAGUGUGUGUGGCCAUCAUCAUGGCGCUCUCAAACAGCAACAUAGGGAUGCUGGGCGCUGCAUGCCGCAGACUGCGUUGAUAUUACAGGUGGUCACUGACACACAGGUACCUGAGAUGCUGGGUUUUCUUGUGAGAUUGAAGGCCACGGGUCUGGAGUUUGUGGCAAACGUCACCUCCCAGGAUGUGUCUCUCAAAGCCAGGCAUGCUGCACAUGAUUUGCUUGGUGCGCAUCAUCCUCGCAGUAUGGGGUCCUCUCAUUUGCUGGGAGGGCAGUGUCACCUGAGGGUGUCCUGGUCCCACGAGCUCCUAGUUCUCAGAAGAGCCCAGGAGAGGAGCUGAGGCCCGAGAAGGCUGCUGAUUGGGCUGGCCCUGGGCUGGCUGGCUUUUCGAGAACUGAGUUGGUUCCUCUUUGACCCUUUGGCACAGUGGCUGAUCUGCACUGACCUUCAGAAUGAAGGCUUUUGGCCUGCCCGGCGAGCUCUCACAAGAGUCUGGGGACAGUGGAUGGGUGUGCUCCCCCCCCCGCCCCGGGAGGGGCAAGGAGGACGUUGAAGUUUGGCUCUUUGUUGGUAUGGCGGGACUCAGUGUGGGGUGCGGCCUUCAGAGUGGCCCAGAGUUUUUUCCUUGUAAUCCCAGACCUCAGAUUGUUGUCUGCAUACACCCUCUUGGGGAAGCAGAAGUUCUCCUUUAGGGGAAACACCAAUUUUGCUUGCUCAGGAAAGCCCAAGGGCAACCCUAGGUGGAAGGCCGGGGAGGCCCAGGAAGGCCCCCAGGUGAGGUGUGGGCUCCCAGUGGGGUGGGCGUCUUUGUCUUGCUGUGAUCAUGGGACUCGUGGAGACGCGGGGUGGCCCGUGACGCCCAGCUCCUUAGAAGAGAAGGGUUUCUCGAGUCUAUUGGUGGGGCCUCAGCUGGCCCAGAGAGAGGAUGGUACUGCAGGGGGUCCUCAGGUGGCCCUGGGGACAGGCGGUGGAGUUUCCUGUAUAGAUGAGGCUUCUUCAGCAGGAAGGGGAAGUGUCCCCGCAGGUGGCUGUCGGUGGUGGGAGAUUGUGCCUGUUUGGGGAAAACCCCUGUGGCGGUCGGGGCCAUCUUCCAGGAGGCCCCUGGUGUCCGUGGCUUCUCGGAGCAGUCUGAAGGACACGGAGAGCUGAUGGAUCUUCGGUUUCCAGUUACGUCCGCCCUGAAACAUGCCUGAGGUCGGCAGUUCGCACCUGCUCUGUGCAAGGGCUCCUUCCAGUCCGGUGCCACGCAGCCGCCGUGCUCCGGACGCCUCUGUGAACUUGGCAGGAGCUGUCUUGUGGGGCUGAUUCUUCACCCAGCGCUUGGCUUUUGUUUGCUCACUUGCAUUUCCUCAAGCAGCUUCUGCUCUUUCUCCUGCCUGAUUGGUUAUCCGUCCCCAGGACUGGGGGGCCAGAGGUGGGCGCGCUCGGCUCGCGGAGGGCGGGAAGGCUGCGUCUUUUCCAAACCACUCUCUUUCUUCCUGACUUUCUUUGUGUUGCAGAGCUAUGAUUGGCUGCUGAUGGCCUCUGAAGGCUUUGUGAGGGUUUGUUCCUGGCUGGCCCCUUGAUAAGGGGGCUCGCCUCCCCCCUCCCCUCUCCCCUGCCCCAGGGAAGCCUGGCAGGCAGCUUCGGCAGGCAUUCUGUCCUGGAAUCAUUGUGAGCCCACGCGCCUGGUCGCCCUGGGCUCCAGCUGCUUUCUGACUUGUGGCGCACUGGAUGCCAGGGGCAGAGCCGGGAAGCGGUGUGGGCUCCAGUUCCCCAGGCCGGGAGUGGGCCGGGGGCUACCUCUUCAGAACUCCCCGCCUCGCCCGGCCACCUCUCCCCUCUUUUUGCUUUUGCUUUGUGCCUCUGUAGCUCCUUCGGAAAGAAACCCGCUCCGCCUCUGGGGAAGCCGCCUGUUCUCUGAGGAGAGUCUCCUGGCUUCUGUGAGCGCCUGCUUCUCCUUUCUGUGUGCUGACAGGAAGUCCGGGUGGGCCAGCCUGGUUCCGGGCUUGAAGGACUCCCGACGACUUCACUGUGCUCUCUCAAAUUCCUGUGCACGCGCUUUGUGUUUAUGAUGAAGGUCUUUCACACGGGUCCGCUUUGCACUUCCUGCUCUGGCGAGUCUCAGCGCUUCCUUUUAGGGGUACCGGGGCGCUGAGCGUCUGGGCCUGGCUCACCAGGAGCUGACGGGCCACAGGCCCCGGGCUCCGAUUCUGCGUUUCCGGCAAGAUGUUGAUGGGCUCAUUUCUCUCCCCACGUUCGAGAGGGGCCUGUGACUUCUGUGGCCCUGAGUGGCCACAUGCUCUCGAUGCAUUUCUGAACAGGGAGGCUCCGCAUCCUCUGUGAGCGCCCGGCCCUGCAGAUCGCGUCCCCAGGGUGCUGAGGGCCGUGGGGGCGAGGCGGGGAGCCGCCCUGAAGAACCAUGACUGGAAGAGGCUGGGGUGCAAGGGGCCGGCUCAGGAUCGGGAUUCUGAGCAGGACGAGGGGUCGGGCGUCUGGGAUGCCCGGCGGCAGGGACGAUGGCGGAGGAGCAGCCGCUCACUGUCUGGAGCCCCGCGGGGCUCGGCGUGCGCAGGGCCGGCCUGCUUUUGCUCCCUGCGCCCCUCGGGGUGCGUGUGGCACGGAACGUGGCUCACGGAACGCCCCAACACCGGCCCCCGGCCCCACAGCUGGCCGGCCAUGGGCGGAGAGUUUGGGGUUGGCAGCGCCGGCAGAGCAGAGGCCGGCGGGUCGCGUGGUGCUGCUCGCUUGUCCCACUGCCGCCGGGGACCCGCGCCCUUGAGUGCAAGUCAGUGGGCUGUGAGCCCCGCGGCUGGCACCCCCGAGUCACUCCCUGCCUUUGAAGAACGUUUCCUCUCUUGGCUCUGGCCCUGCAUUCUGGAUUCUCUCUAAAGUGCCCUCGUCCUCCAGCCCCCUGACGCGGGCCCCAUGCCUCUCCAGCUCCCAGGUCUUAAAAAAGCCCACUUUGUAGCAGACGGCGGCAUUGUCCCAGCAGCCUCCGGACACUUUCUCUGCAGUUCCCGCGCAGCUGUCUCGCCGGGCCCUGGCGGAGGCGGACUCUCUGGAGCUCCCCAGCUUGUGUGCAUGGGAUGGAGGAAACCCCGGGGGAUGAGGCCCCCUCAGGAGGGCCAGGACGCUGGAGGCUCAGGGGAGGCGCUCUGGCAUGGGGUCCGCUGCAGCUGGGCUUGGGGUUGGGGGGAGGGAAGCACCUGGGGCGCAGGGUGGUGGCAGCCUCGGGCACUGAGGCAGAUCACUUUUAACGGGCUGGGCAAGGUCUCUGUCUUGUUGUCUUAUCAGCUUCGUAUCAGACUUCUCCCCAGAUUUCCGUUCUGGCACAACAGCACAUGCCUUGUUCGUUUUGUUGUAUGAAAUGCCCUAACCAGAGCACUGUGGCUGUUUUCCGUGUAGGUGCGUCGGUCUACCAUUUCUUCUUCUCUUUCCUUCCUCAUUCAACACCCCGUUUUAAGAUCAGACCUUCCCCUCUGCAGUCUUAGAAUGGAUUGAGAUUACCCCCAAGGGCUUUUGUUUAUGUGGGUUAAAACUAUUGAUAUUCCUGCCUUAGAAAUGGAAAUAGAGACACUUAAAAAAAAGCAAACGUCUCCAUUUGUUUAGAAACAAAUGCAUGCCAAUGUAAAUCAGUUUUAGCAUUUUUAUGAAAAUAGUUUUGACCUUGAAGACUGCCAGUCCCAGGAUGUGAGUGGGCUCUGACCAGACACCGGUGUGGUUUGCACUGCUUUGUAACACGGAUGUCGGAAGGCAGUUUGUCUUAGGGAAGUGUGCUUGGAGCGAUGGACUAGCCUCCGCGGUGACUGACGGAUGCCACUGUCCCUGUGUGAAAGGUCAUUCUGGCAAGCAGACAUUCUGGGUCUGACCCGAACACUUUUUGGUGUUUUAUGUUGAGUUUUUAAGUCCCAGAGUAGAUAACUUUGAAACACAAAGAACAAAAAUUCUUCGCUUACGAGCAAGCUAUUUUUCUUUUGCAAGCUAUUUCUUUUACUUUUUAAAUUUGAAAUCGAUGGCAGCGUAGGCUUUUUUCUUAAGUUUGAAAUACUUUUUGCCUUUUUGGUGGUUUUGGGUGUCUAAUCCUGUCUCAUUCCAAAAGGGAACUCCAUCCUCGUGCGCUGGGCCUCUCCCCCGUCCUCACCCACAGGCAGUCUCUGACCCCUGAGUGUAGCAACGGGAGUCACACAGUGUGUGGCUUUUUGUAUCUGACUUCUUGUGCUUAGCCAAAUGUUUGAGGUGGAUGGGUCAACACUUUACCCCACUCAGAGAUGACCCUCCCUGGCACAGACAUACCACUGCAAGGUGUCCAGCGCAUAACACAUCUUCCCAGGCAGACGCAUCAAUUAAUUCACAAGCUUUUAUUGGGAUCCCGCUCCCGGGCGAGGUUCCCGGUCCCAACAGAGCAGGGCCAGGCCGGGAAAGCUGCACGUCAGAGGUUGGGAGGGCUCCUUUUAUAGAUUCAGGGUGUGGGGGUUAAAGGUUGAGGCAGGUCUGAUCCUCAUUGGUUGACCUUUAGGCACCCGCAGGGACCUUGACAAGGACUUUUCUUCCCCGGAAGUACAGGUAGGGACUCUCCAUUCCCGGAAGUAUAGGCCUUCCCUCCUUGCCGAUCCCAAAGCUACCAACCACUCCGCAUUUGGUUUUCCUGUGGGCUGUUGCCGCUGGGGGGCGUUUUUGAACAGUGCCGGGAGCCUUUGUGUGCCGGUUUUUAUGCGGGCACCGUCUACUCUAUGCCUUAGUUAGAGCUUGCAUGGGUCCCCAGGCCCACGCUGACCGUGUGUUCAUCAUACGUCCAGACCCCCUGCCCUCCCAAAUCAGAGAGAAAGGAGAGAGGGAACCUGCCAGCUAUCUUGGAAAAUCACAAAGAUUUGUCUUUAUUUUUUGUGUUUUUUUUUUUUUUUUUCCACCUGUUAGAAAGAUGUCGUAAGUCAUUGCGGGCCAUUUGCUAUGUUCCUGCUGUGGUUUGCAUGGGAGGAGGUGCCGGAUCAGCAAGGGGCUCACUCAGCUUUCCCCAGGUAAACGUGCAGAUGAAAGGCGGCGAGUUGUGACAUGUUUCAGAAAUCGUUUGUUUGAUGGGAAGUCCUGGCGAUUUGUCACCGCCCCCGCUGCCCACUGUAUUUUGACUCUCAGGGGAAGCGAUUGUCCCAAACUGUAUGAGAUGAUUGUUCUCUGCCCCGAUGGGGGCGUGGCUCUCCCCCGAGAGUGGACCGCUGCUAGUGGGCCUCUGUCAUCCGCGGAUGGCCCUGGGGUCACACUGGGCUCGCCCGAAAGGCUGUGUGCUCCAGGCCACAGGACCACGCUUGUUUCUUCACCGGAAAAGGAUACGGCAUUUGACUGCUGACGGCCGUCCCAGGUGCUGCCAUGUGUUGCCACUCUGGGAACAGACUCGUUGGCCCCCCUUUGGCAACUCCCGGGGGGCUCCCCGAGGACGGUCAGGGUCCCAGGGCUCUCUUGAAUCCAGGAUUUAGUUCCAUGGGACGCAAGCAUUUCGCUGUGGCGAUUUAAGCUGCUGUUAACCUUGUUCGAUUGUUCUAUUUUUUAGGCUAUAUGUGAAGGUCUUAAGAUUCCCAUAAUGCACCAUUUAGCCGACUGUGCUUUUGUAAACGGAAAUAAAAAUUUUAAGAAUGACACUUGAUUUUCACAGCUGUGCCGGGGCAUCUCGUUCUGGUUUGAGUUUCCAUUUCCUUCUUAGCAAAUGCCGUCGCAUCUUUUCCAUGUCUACCAUCCAUAUGUGGCCUUCAGUAGCGUGGCAGGGGGUGAGGUGCUGAGGGAGACGUGCGUGUCACUCAUCCCACGAUCCCCAUUCUACAGACGAAGAACCCAUGACCCCAGAAGGAACGUGUGUCCAGGUCUCCCCGGCACGCUGUGAGCGCUGAAGGGGACAGAGGGCUGGCCGCUCGGGGGCCUGAGCACGCUGUACCAGGCCUCAGGGUGGUUUCGGGUGCCUCGGCUCCGGAGUGGGACGGGUCAUCGCAGGUCAGCGCCCCGGCCACGGCAGACACAACCAUCCCCCUGCAGAAGCUGCCAGGUUCUGAGGCCCCCACCCCGUACGCAGGAGGCAGUGCCCAGAGGCACCUUGUCUGUGGGCAGCAGGGAUGAGCAGGACUUCUGAGCCUGGAGCCGCUUCAUCCCUGUGAGUGCUGGAGCAGUCAGAGAGCUCGCCCCGGAGAGACAGGAAGCGGCUUCCACCUCAGGCUCACCGGGCUGACACAGAGGUCUUGACAGGGCUCUGCUCCUUCUGAAAGCUCCAGAGUUGUUUCCCUGCCUUUACCAGACUCUGCCUGCUGCCCCUUCCACGUUCAGAGCCACAGAGGCCGGAGGAGGCGGCCUGGCAUUGCACCACCCUGGUCCUGACCGCACGUGCAGGGACCUUAUGAUUGCACUGGGCCCACCUGGAGAAUCCGCCUGUUUCUAAGAUCAUUGGAGAGCGACCUAAUUCUUUCUUUUUAAAAAAGAUUUAUUUAUUUACUUGAGAGGCAGAGUUAAAGACAGGGAGGGAGAGACAGAGGGGUCUUCCGUCCACUAGUUCACCCCCUAAAUGGCCACACUGGAGCCAGAAUCUCCUUCCCAGUCUCCCACGUGAGUGCCGGAGCCCAAGCACUUGGGCCAUAUUCCACUGCUUUCCCAGGCCAUUAGCAGAGAGCCGUAGCCAUGACUCAGACGGGGGCCCAUAUGGGAUGCCAAUGCCACAGGUGGAGGCUUAACCUAAUUCUUUUUUUUUGAAGUCAUAUUUAUUGGAAAAGCAGGCAACACAUAAAGAAGUACAGAAAGAGAGAGGUCGAUCUUCCAUUCACUGGUUCACUCCCCAAAUGCCUGGCUGAAAACAGAAGCCUGAAAACAGAAGCCAGGAACUCCAUGUAGGUCUCCCACGUGGGUGGCAGGGACCCAAGCCCUUGAGCCACCGCCUGCUGCCUCCCAGGUGUGCAUCAACAGGAAGUUGGAUCAGAAGCACAGCUGGGACUUGAACUCAGGCACUCUAAUCUAUGGACGUCCCAAGUGAUGUCUUAACCUCUGAGCCAAAUGGCCACUCCAACUGUGAUUCCUUCUGCAAGUUCAAGUCCCCUUGCCAUGUGAGAUCACAGGUUCAUUCUGCUUGGGGAUUAGGGCACAGACAUCUCUGGGAAUCACUGCUCUGUCCUCCACAGCCUGCCUGAUUGUUCAGGGGACAGGACGUGGAUAACAGUGAGGGCCCCAGGAGGAACAGGUGCCCUGCUGGAGCCAUCGUAAAGCCACGUGGUCAAAGUGCCAUGGAGAAAGAUAUUGCCGGGGAGGGGACUAGGGGAGUGCAGUGUAACCAGGGUGGGCUGCACUGAGACCGUGCCAUUUAAGCCAAGACAAGCCAAGACCGGAAGGAGACAAGGAGCCCCUGGCAGGCCUGUGGGGCUCUGCACGAGCUGCUCUCAUCCGGUCUUGAUUGCUUACUUUUCCCUCUGAGCUCCCUCUCUGUCUAGCAACUCGUGCCCUCCCCCCCCCCACCCCCAGAAGAACGAGCCAGGCUACCCUGCCCUUGGUGCUGGGUUUAGGGGAUACUUUAUUUUUUGCCUGUGGAUGCCUCUGCUGUCCACGGCAUGAGGUCAGCCUGCCCCUAGCUGAAUUCUGACUCCACCGCUGGCUGGCGGCUUUCCUUGGGGGAAGUGACCUCAGAGUUUUGUGCCACAGGCUCUAGAGAGAAGAGACAAUGAUGCUAAGUUCCCCAUGGCUAGUGUGAGGCCCACGCUAGGCGACCCCAUACCUGUGUUUAGGGGAGAAGCCUAAAACCCGCUGAUGUGUUAUCACCUUAUGUUAGUCUUCCAUGUUGCAUUGCACACAAUUUUACCUGCUUCCCAGGUGCUUCUAACUUUGAAUUGUUUGGGAACAAAACUGGGCAUGAAACUAACGUUCAAACACCUUGGCCACCAGAUGAACCCCCUUGAGUGAUUCCACAGGGCCCUCCGGGAAGCCAUCCUGUUUCCUGACUGGCUACUUAGAGACCACUUCAGCCCACUCUUCAAGGACCUGAGUAUAGUCAAUGGCCCUUCAAAAUGACAAAAGCCGCUGCCUAUAUGAGGGUACUUCAGAAAGUCCGUGGGGAUGGUUGUAUGACCUAGCGCUUAAGACACUGGAUAAAAGGCUGGUGUCAGCAUGCCAUAUGGGUGCCCAUUCGAGUCUUGGCUGCUCCACUUCCAAUCCAGCUCCCUGCUCAUGCGCCUGGUAAGGCAGUGGAGAAUGGGCCAAGUCCUUGGGCCCCUGCAGCCAUGUAGGAGACCCGGAGGAGGCUCCUGCCUCCUAGCUUUGGAUUGGCCCAGCUCCAGCCAUUGCGGCCAUUUGGAGAAUGAACCAGUAGAUGGAAGACCUCUCUCUUGGUCUGUGCCUCUCUCUCUUUUUGUAACUCUGCCUUCCACAUAAAUAAAUAUUUAAAAAUGGUUCUGGUUAAGAUGCCUGCAUCCUACAUCAGGAUACCUGGGUUCCAGCCUCGAUCUGCUCCAGAUUCCAGCUUCUGUGAAUGCACACCCUGGGAGGCAGCAGGUGAGGGCUCAAUGGUUGGGUCCCCACUACCCAUGUGGGAGACCUGGCCCGAGCUUUGGAGGCACUUGGGGAGUGAACCAGUAGUUGGGAGUUGGUUCGCUCUCUCAAUCUAUUUGAAUUCCAUCCUCCAUGAAUUGUUUGAAGUGCUCUUGCAGGCGUGGCUCGUGCAGGCGCGGUGGGGGCCAGUGCCUCCCAGGGCUGUCUUCUCCGGUAGGCCCAGUGCAGGGUCUAGGGCUGGGCUGCUGGGGAGACUUGCGAAAAUGUUCUGCUUUUUAAAAUCCAAAGGCCAAAAUGGCCUUUUGGGUUAAAGAAAUUGUCUUAAUAUAUGAUACUAAUAUAUUCACCUGUAUGCCAAUGCACUGAUAAAAAUAGAUUUUACAAUACUUUAUGGAGGUAGCUGUCCACGUGUGCCCAGGGCCCACGUGCCUGGUCCCCUCUGUCAGUCCCAGUGUGCCUGGCCAGACGUGCUGCUGCUCCACGUGCGGACGCGUGCAUGCGUUGACAUGUUCAGCGCAUCCCCCACAGGCCCCUCGACUGCCCUUAUGCCAAGAUUCUGAGUUCCACCAUGUUUACUCCCGCUUGUCUCCCCCUCCUCCUGGAACGGAGAGUCCAGGAGACCUGGGCACUCAGUCUCGUGAGCUGAGGAAGCUCUGCGGACUUUGCAACCCUCGGCUUUUCCCUUUGUAAAACGGGACGUGCGGGGUGACUGUUGUCAGUGCACUUCCCUUCUCUGGGCGCCAAGUCUUCCUCUGUUCCUUUGGAACCUCCAGCCCCUCAUCCCAGGAAGACUCCCCCCCCCCCCCCGACCUGCUGGCCGUGGCUGAUUGGUCAGGGGUAAACAUGGGGCCUAAGGUGGGCCAGCCAGGGCUCCUGGAACAUGGGAUAGAGAAGCAGUCUGUCUGCCAGUGAGGCACUCGGAUGUGUCAUGCUGAGCCAGUUUCUUUAACACAGGCUUAUGAGCAUCUGCUGUGUGCUUGACAUAGCUCCCGACGCUGCAGAUACAGCACGCGUGACUUACUUAUUUAUAAACAUGGAUAGAUGCGUUUCCUGUCCCAGGGAGGACAUCCAUCUGAGAGAACAAAGCCAUUGGAUAGGGCACAGGAGAGACAGGAGAUGGAAGAGCCGUGGCAGUUUGUCACUCCCAGCUCAGCUUGUGCCGUGUGACCUGUUGGUGGCCCAGCUUCUAGCCACGAUUUCUCCUUUUUGCCUGAGCUAGCCAGGAUGGCGUUUGAUUAAAGCAAAGAGCAGACGUGGUUAUUUUUUUUAAAUUGUUAUGGAAAAAUGAAUGAAAAGAUAAUGCAUAUGUUCCAUGAAGUUUUUGAACAUUCCUUGGGCAUUUCUUUUGAUGAGUUACUUACACAUUUGAAAGGCAGAGAGAGAGAGAGAGAGAGAGAGAGAGAGAGAAGUUUCAUCUGCUGGUUCACUCCCCAAAUGCCUGCAACAGCCUGGGCUUGGCCAGGCCAAAUCAGGAGCCAGAAACUCCAGCUGGGUCCCCCCAGAUGCGUGACAGAGAGCCAAGUGCCAUCUGCUGCUGGCUCCAGGGUGCAGUAGCUAGAAGAUGGAUCAGAAGCGUCGGUGGGGCUCGACCCCAGGCGCUCCGACAGGGGACACAGGCAUCCCCGGCAGCAGCCUAACCUGAUGCCCCUCACUGCCCACCCCCCUUGCAUAUUCUUGAGUAACUGAUUUCCAGACUCUAUCACUCCCUGAAGUAUUUCCCAAUGUAAACUCAGGUGUACACCCACACGCGUGCCCGGAGGGUGAAAUCAUGAUUCUCUCUGUCUGAAUGUGUGUUUCUCUGCCUCUGUAAAAAAAAAAAAAAAAAGUCGUGGAAAAAUGGAAAGAAAAGAUAAGUGCAUUUUGGUGCAACAAAGUUUGGAAUCCAUGGAUAUUUUCACACUACACAUUUCCACGAAUGUUUCUGAAGACCCCUAAUUGGAAAGUGUUGUUCUCUGUUGGAACCUGGGCUGAAUUUGUAAUUGCUACUGAAGAUGGCCCCGGGAAACAGAGCCUGGAUAUUCUGAGAUUGGGUUGAUGAAUUAUUCAAGAAGGGCAGAGAAGCCCUCCUUGCCAGGGGGAAGUGGGACACGGGUUCUCCGUAGCGGGUGGUGGCAUCACAAACCCUCAAAUUAUCACCGGUAGUGACAGAGAUGAUAGGCAGGCAGCAGAAAAGCCUUGAGAUUUCCAGGGGUUCUGACACCCAGUUUCUAUGGCAACAAGAGGGAAUUUGAGCAUCUUGGAGUAGCCUGGAUUCUUGUGGCUGUAGAGAGUGCGCACAGGGAAGAGGAGGAUUUAGAAACUGCAACACCAUCUGAUCGAGUGCACGCUCGGAGAACAGGCAGGCCUUGGGAUGGCCUUGGAGGGUCUCUCAGCUGCUCUGGUGGCUGAGGACCAGGGUCAGGUGAGAUGAUGGACAGGCUAUGUGUCUGCAGCAGCAGGGCUGCUACACCAAGCACAGAUGGGGUAGGAACAGCUGAGUGGACAAGGGUAAGGAAAUGGGUGCCCAGUGUCCCCUGAAUUCCACCCCAUUAACCUCUAGAAGCAGCCCCUUCUACAUCCCCUUCCCCUGCCCCCACCCCAAGUGUGGGAACCAGCCCUCUUCUAGAGAUGGCCUUGAACUGGCUGUACCCGAGUGUCAGCUCAGGCUGAUGCCACCUUCUGGCUGCCCUUCCUCCUUCCCCGGCACAAAGCUCCCCUGCAAAUAAGCCCUUCUGAAACUAUCCUGAAGUGAAGGUGCCACCUGGAAGUGCGUCUGAAAUCCUCUUACCCGUCCCUUCCCCAACUCUGCUCCUCGCCUAGGCUUCCCGUCUCUGUGAAUGGCACCCACUAUGCACCCAGCUGCUCAAGCCAACAGCCUUGCAAGCCGUUACCCCUUUCUUGCUUGUCCUGAAUCUAAUUCCUAGCAAGGCCUUUGAUUGCAUCUUUGACAUAGAUAGUUGAUGUCAGGCUAUCAAAUAGAAUCUGAUAUUUGAUAUCACCACUGCUUGUACUUUUUUUUUGAUGCAAGACAUCAGCCUUUCUCAACUGCACCAGUGUUCAGGAGCCUCCUAGCUGGUCUCUCUGCUCACUCACUCGCUCUCGCCUCCUGUGGUUUAAUGUCCGCACAUUUGCCAGAAAUUGUCCUACCCUGCUGAUGUCACCCUCGGAAGCUUGCGUUGACCGUGAGCUUCCAAGCCCUUUGCGUCAUGGUCCCUGCUGUGGUUCAGCUGUGGGUUGAGUGGGCUGCCCAAGGUGUUAGGUGUUGGAAGCUUGGUCCUCAGUGUGCUGAUGCUGAGAGGUGAUGUGGAACCUCAGAGUCGGGCUGCAUUACGGCACAGGGGGUUAAAAUGCUGCCUGCCAUGCGGGCAUCCCAGAUGGGCACUGGUCUGCGUCCCGGGUACCUCAUGUGUGAUCUCACUCCCUGCUAAUGUACCUGGGAAGGCAGCGGAAGAUGGCCUAGGUAUUUGGGUCCCUGCUACCUACUGGAUGGAGUUCCAGGCUCCUGGCUUUCGCCUGGCCUAGUCUUGCCAUUGCAGCCAUUUGGGGAGUGAACCAAGUCUUUCUCUGUCUCUCUGAAACUCUGCUUUUCAAAUAAAUAAACCUUUUUUUUUUUAAAGUCAUUGAAAAGAAAUUUAAGAGGAAGGUGAAGCCUGGUAGAAGGAGUUUGGGUCACUGGGUGCUGCCCACAGAAGGGCUUAACCAGUCUCCAGGAGCAGUCGGCUCUCUAAGUUGUCAUCAAAGACAAGACCUGCCCCUCCCCCACCUGGCUUCCAGUUUCUCCAGGUGACCUCCCCUCUACCUCCGGCUCCUGCUCUUGAUUCCCUUAGGCCCUCACCAGAGAGCCUGAACUGCACAGCUGCCCCAUUUUGGGACUUCCAGGGUCCAAGACCACGGGCUCAACACCUCCUUUCCUUGUACACGUCCAGGCCCCAGGUAUUUUGUUAUAGAGAAGUGGACUAACACAGCCUCCGAGGCACCACGGGGCCUGGGCUGGCCUCACCUGUUUCCCCAACCUCCCCUACAGUCACCCGCUUCCCCCAUUCGCCUCCAGCCCCAGGGGCCUCUUUCCUGGCUGUUUCUUCUCCCAGGUGGCAGCAGGUGCACUCCGUCACUUCACGCAGGCCUCUGCUGGAACGCUGUCUUUGCCGAGAAACUGCAGUGAAACCUCUGUCUUUUCUGUCGCUUUCCUUUGUCUACUUUCUUUCAGCACGCUCGUCACUACUCGGCAUCAUGUGUGUUCUUACCUGCAUGUCUUCUACCUUAUUAUUAUUAUUAUUAUUUUUAGAAAAUUUUAUAUCUGAAAGGCAGAAUUUCAGGGGAUGGUGGUGGGGGAGAGGGAGACAGACAGAGACAGUGAGAGAGAGAGACAGAGUGAGAGCGAUCUUGUAUCUGCUGGCUCACUCCCCAAAUGGCUGCAGUGGCCAGGGCUGGGCCAGGUCAAAGCUGCUGGCCUGGAAUUUCAUCAGGUCUCCCACAUGGGACCCAGGCCCUUGGGCCAUCUUCCGUUGCUUUCCCAGGUGCAUCAGAAUGGAGCCGGGUGGAACUCGGGCAGCUGGAACUUGAAGCAGUGCCCUGAAAUGGGAAUGAUGGAGCCCAGGCAGCGACUUAACCCCUGUGUUUCACUUGAGAGUGUAAGCUCCAUGAAACUUCUCAACAAAGGAGCAAAUGCGCCCAACAGGGCGGAGUUCCCAGAGGAAGUGACAGUUCCUUUUUAUCACUGCCAAGGAGGUUUGUGAGCUGCAGGCAGAGGGGUCCAGAGGCACAGCCGGUGGUCCUCGCCCUGUGUUCCCAGAGUGGGUGGGGCCAUAGCUUCUCAAUGCCUCUAGCCCUGCUCCCCAGGUUCCACACCGUAGAAAGCACUUGUCGGGAGCAUAUAUUAUUAGCGCUUCUCUUGGAAAAGAACCGGAUGCUGGGGGGGUAACCUGCACUUUGCAGAGAAGUUAACUUCAUGGUGGUGUACACCUCCUGGCUGGGGCCCUGCCAUUGCCACACCCAGGGCAGUGGUUUAGACCAUGGAUCCAAGUUGCUGGCUUCAUACCCCUACUGGCCAUGGGAUGUGGGGCUCAUUACCCAACCUCUUAGAAUCUUCAGCGAGAAACAACCACAGGGUCUCCCUGGGAGGGGGAGAGCGGCCCCAGGCCAGCUGUCCAGUGCAGUACCUAGCACUUGGCAGUACCUAGCACUUGGCAGUACCUAGCGCUUGGUACGCUCUCGAUGAAUCGGCAGCUCCUGCUGUGUUCUUGGUUAUAGAAACAAACAUGGAACAGACAGGGCUCAGGCUGGUGACGGGACAGGCAAGCAAUGCUGAGUGAAAGCCAGAGGGUCACAGGGUCCUACAGUGCCCCGAGGUGCUCCUGGCACCCUCAGCCACGGA